rnacentral:misc_RNA from 1 species
GAUGAAGAACGCAGCGAAAUGCGAUAAGUAAUGUGAAUUGCAGAAUUCAGUGAAUCAUCGAAUCUUUGAACGCACAUUGCGCCCGCCAGUAUUCUGGCGGGCAUGCCUGUUCGAGCGUCAUUUCAACCAUCAAGCCCCCGGCUUGUGUUGGGGACCUGCGGCUGCCGCAGGCCCUGAAAACCAGUGGCGGGCUCGCUAGUCACUCCGAGCGUAGUAAUAUAUCUCGCUCAGGGCGUGCUGCGGGUUCCGGCCGUUAAAAAGCCUUAUUUACCCAAGGUUGACCUCGGAUCAGGUAGGAAGACCCGCUGAACUUAAGCAUAUCAAUAAGCGGAGGA